GUGUUUGUGUGUACAUGAAUGAAAGCAGACACUCUCACUACCAGUGGAGAAUGUUCAUGUAAUUGGCCCAAACCUGAGCUCUUCUGGCUUCGAUGAGGCCCCCACCAGGUCGGUGAGUACCUGCUGCUGUCUGCAUCUCUGCCUGCUGAAGCCCCCUCAACACUAGUUUCCCGAAGUCCACAUACAGCAGGUCCCUGAUUUCUGUGUCCUUCUAUGGAGGGUGGGAUGCCUGCUCCCUAUCUCCUGCCCCUUCUCCUUACACCCAUCUCAGCUAAGCCACCUUUGUGUCCCGGCAGGAACUUUCCUCCCUGCCUCAGGGCCCCCAAGACACUCAGCUUUUACCCUUCAUGGGCCUCAGAAGAAGUUGUCUCUGAAUAAGUAGAGAGGAAUUUUGAGUAACACAUUGUUCUGCCUAACUACAUCUAUAAACCUCACAGCCACGUGGGAGGUGUUUGUGUCACACGAUUUUGGUCCACUGUGCUACUCUUAAGAGAAGGAGCUCAUCAUCAAGUCUUUCACUAAACUGUCCCCUCGAGAUUUCCAGGACUCCAGGGAGCCACAGUCAGAAUUUGGAGCAAAGAGCUUAUUCUUUCUCUUGUCUGUUGCCCUGGCUACCACCCCAAACACAGUGCCCUUGUGGGGAACCUUUGUUCUCCAUUUGGUAAUGUGUCCAGAAUUGGUUCCUUCUGGUGGGUUCUUGGUCUCACUGACUUCAAGAAUGAAGCUGCAGACGCUCGCAGUGUUACGGUUCUUAAAGAUGGUGCUUCCGGAGUUUGCUCCUUCUGAUGUUCAGACGUGUCCGGAGUUUCUUCCUUCCAGACCCUCGAGGUGAGUGUUACAGUUCUUAAAGAUGGUGUGUCCAGAGUUUGUUCCCUCUGAUGUUCAGAUGUGUCCCAAGUUUCUUCCUUCUGGUGGGAUCGUGGUCUUGCUGACCUCAAGAGUGAAGCCGCAGACCUCCCCAGUAGUGAGUGUUACAGCUCUUAAAGGUGGCCCCUCUGGAGUUGUUUGUUCCUCCUGGUAGGUUUCUGGUCUCGCUGACUUUAGGAGUCAGCCACAGACCUUCACAGUGAGUGUUACAGCUCAUAAAGGUAGCACGGACCCAAAAAAUGAGCAGCAGCAAUUUAUUGUGAAGAGC
rnacentral:lncRNA from 1 species